rnacentral:rRNA from 1 species
UAGCACAAGUAAUUGUCUUUUAAUUGUAGAAGUGAAUGAAAGGCACCACGAGGAUUAAGCUGUCUCCUUUCUCCAAUCAAUGAAACUAAUCUUCUCGUGAAAAAGCGAGAAUACCCUCAUAAGACGAAAAGACCCUAUGGAGCUUUAAACAACUAACACCUGCUCACAAUUCCCCGAGCACCCUGAUUACAAGUUUUUGGUUGGGGCGACCACGGAGCACAACACACCCCCCGCGUUGAACACACUUCGUAAAUAAAUAAGCAACAGCUUUAUGAAUCAAUAAAUUGACACAAUUGACCCAAUAUUUUGAUCAACGAAUCCAGUUACCCUAGGGAUAACAGCGCCAUCCGCUUCAAGAGCAC